GGCCUUAGUAGAGCAAACACUCACUACAUCAUCACCAGCGACGCUCUCGUGACGUAACCAUUUCUGUUUAAUCCAUCGCACUUUCGCCUAUUUUCCUUAAUUUCUUAGUUGUUCCAUUUCUAGGGUUUCAACUACAUUCUGCAAUGGGUGGAGCCAAAGAGAAAUCUCCUGAACCAGAUUGGUUGCGUACUUUUCAGGCGCCAACUCAUAACCAGUCUAUAAUGGCGCUAUCUUCUGACUCUGAUUCUUCAAUUGAUGGUGAAAAACCAAUUGCUGACGCCAACGUUGAGGCUGAAGCACCCGGAACCAAAUCUCGAUUUUUGUCAUUAACUGUUUCAUCAGACUCUGAGUCUUGUCCUGAUGAUACUCUAUUGAAGAAUUACAAUCCUUCUAAGUUAGAAGAGCAAGGGCAGGAUGAGGAUGCAGCUCCCAUUGGUCUCAAAGGAAAGUUCCCUCAUAAGAAGGCUUCAAAAGAAAAAUCUCCAAAAAAAGGGCAAAAAGUAACUGACCAAAUGCCAACAAAAGAGAAGGAUGUAAACAAUGACGUGAAAAGAGAAGAAAAUGAUGGUCGUGAAGAUUUGGAGGAAGAAGCAGCAGAGAAGCACAACAAGCCUUCUGUUUCUACCUCAACGUUGCCUUUGAUUCUUCCAGAGAAAGUCCAACGUAUGAAGGCACUUGUUGAGUGUGAAGGGGAGUCCAUAGAUUUGAGUGGUGAUAUGGGGGCUGUAGGAAGAAUAAUAGUUCCAGAUGCUCAAAAUGGAAAUCAUGACAUGUUCUUGGACUUAAAAGGAACCAUAUAUGGAACAACAAUAGUUCCUUCCAGGACAUUUUGCGUUGUUAGCUUUGGACAAUCAGAGGCAAAGAUAGAGGCUAUCAUGAAUGAUUUUAUUCAGCUGAAGCCACAAGGCAACGUUUAUGGAUCUGAGACCAUGGUUGAAGGAACACUGGAUGAUUUCUCAUUUGACUCUGAUGAUGAGGCUGUCAAGAAGACUAAAGCAACUUCUCAAAAAAUUGAUCAAAAUGAUGGCGUUGAAGAUGAAACUAACGGGAACACCAAAGCAAAAGCUGACAAACCAUCUGGGCGAAAGAGGGGUUCAGCUGGAAGAGGAAAGCCACAACCACCAAAGAAACCAAGGAAGAAACCAGCUUCUAAGAAAGGCAAGGCCAAGAAGUGAGAGAUGGAUUCUUAUAUCCCAUAAAAGCUAAAUCAGUAAUCUUGGGAUGUUUAUUUAAUUAGUUGAAAGGAGUUAGAAUAGAAAUGACAGAGUGAGUAGUUACAGCGGCAUUGAUUUUGUUCUAGGAGAUCAAUGGCAAAAAUGUAAUUCUUCAUAGAAUUCUUUUUUUAGUUCAAUUAUUGAUGGGAUUCUGUAUUUCCCAAUUAUAAUAGUUAAUUGUUCUACACAAUAUAUCUACUUUGCUGCUUGCUUUAUUUCAGUACCAGAACAGGGAGCUUUGCAUUACAUAGAGAAAGAGUUGAUGCCUUUCUGUGUAGAAGUUGCUUUUGUUCAGAAAAGCAAUACGAGGAUGAGAAGGAUCGGCAUUGGAAGGGGUAAGAUGAUGUUUGAGGAGGAAACCAUCUGUUGAGCCUUCUUGCUGCUGGGAUCUUGAAUUGAUGGAGGUGACUCGCUGAUGGGAUCUUGAAUUGAUGGAGGCGACUUGCUGAUGGGAUCUUGAGUUGAUGGAGGCAAUGGUGAACCAUCUGAUCCCUUCACCCUAAGGAAGCAUUUUUACAAUACGAGAUGAGGAUUUAUGCAGACAACACAAAAAGCAUGCAAUCGAAUGAGCCUGUGGUAUUACAUGCACCAUACACUCCACGGGGUUGAGCUACAAGAGGCAGAUUGUAGCCAUCAACAAUGCUCACAUCGUAAAAAUCUUUGUCGCUGGCCUUGCCAAGGGUUAUCUCAAAGAGUGAUG